AUUCCCUUAGUAACUGCGAGUGAACAGGGAUUAGCCCAGCACCGAAGCCUGUGGUUAUUUGAUCACUAGGCAAUGUGGUGUUUAGGUUAUCUCGCGGAAGUACUGCUCCACCCUAAGUCCAAAAAUGAGUACGGUAGUACGGACAUGGCCCACAGAGGGUGAAAGGCCCGUGGGGGUGGGGAUCAGGCAGGCCAGUGCUUCUCUGAGUAAACCUUGGAGUCGGGUUGUUUGAGAUUGCAGCCCAAAGUGGGUGGUAAACUCCAUCCAAGGCUAAAUACUUGCACGAGUCCGAUAGAUAACAAGUACCGUGAGGGAACGUUGAAAAGUACUUUGAAGAGAGAGUAAACAGUGCGUGAAACCGCUCAGAGGUAAACGGGUGGAGUUGAACUGCGAACUCCGAGAAUUCAACUGGUGAGUGUGGUUUGAGCUUGGCAUAACGGUUGGCUCCGCGGGUCUGCUUAGCUGCAGGUCUUCGCCUUUCGGUGGGGAUGCGCGAUACACUUGUCAAGUGUUGCGCGCUCGUGGGGUAACUCGGGCAUACUCGCCGGUGCACUUUCUCGGGGUGUUCACCACGACCGGCGCCGCUACUUGUCUAAUACGGCCUAAACGGUCUUGCUUGGUCUUUGUGGCUUGGCUUGGUCGGGACGGCUGGUUGGCACGCCUUCGGUUUCCGAGUGCAGUCAGCUGGUCGUAUUAGUACUAUGUAGUGCGUCGGAGACGGCGGCUUGUUGUGUGUGCGUGCGUAGCUGCUUGCUGACGGGACUGAGUUUGGUUAUUAUGUUGCCUGUUCUGCAGGCCUGGUGAUGGCUCGGUUCCGCUUGGUGAGUGGGUGCGUGUGUGACACUUAUCAGGGCCAAUAGUCUGUGGUGUUGUGGUAGACUAUCCACCUGACCCGUCUUGAAACACGGACCAAGGAGAGUAACAUGUGCGCGAGUCAUUGGGCGUUGCGAAACCCAAAGGCGAAGUGAAAGUAAAGACUUGACCUGGUCGAGUUGUGGUGAGAUCCUGUCGUUUCUCAUGCGCGGUACUACCAAGCACUCGAGCGAUAGGCGCAUCACCGGCCCGUCCCAUGGUGUGGUCACUGUCCUCGGAUUGGUGCAUCACCGGGGCGGAGCAUGAGCGCACAUGUUGAGACCCGAAAGAUGGUGAACUAUGCUUGCGCAGGUUGAAGCCAGAGGAAACUCUGGUGGAGGACCGUAGCGAUUCUGACGUGCAAAUCGAUCGUCAAACGUGAGUAUAGGGGCGAAAGACUAAUCGAACCAUCUAG
rnacentral:rRNA from 1 species